rnacentral:ncRNA from 2 species
AGCAUGUGGUUUAAUUCGAUGAUACGCGAGGAACCUUACCAGGGCUUAAAUGUAGAGUGACAGAUUUGGAAACAGAUUUUUCUUCGGACACUUUACAAGGUGCUGCAUGGUUGUCGUCAGCUCGUGCCGUGAGGUGUCAGGUUAAGUCCUAUAACGAGCGCAACCCCUGUUGUUAGUUGCCAGCGAGUCAAGUUGAGAACUCUAACGAGACUGCUAGUGUAAGCUGAGAGGAAGGUGGGGAUGACGUCAAAUCAUCAUGCCCCUUAUGUCCUGGGCUACACGCGUGCUACAAUGGCUGGUACAAAGGGCUGCAAUACUGCAAGGUGGAGC